CAGCUACUCCCUCCGUCCGAAAAUAGUUGUCAUCAAAAAGAGUAAAAGGGAAUGUAUCUAGAUGUAUUUUAGUUCUAGAUACAUCUCUUUUCAUCCAUUUUGAUGACAACUAUUUUCGGACGGAGGGAGUACUAU
rfam:Triticum aestivum genome assembly, contig: Triticum_aestivum_CS42_TGACv1_scaffold_378253_5AL